UCCUUUUUACACACUCAGAGCCUAGCAGGAGUAGCUGUUUAAUACGUGCUUCUUGACUUAUUAAUGAUUGAUAAGUGGGUGAAGUCACAUGGCUAGGAAAUGUUCUGUGUGGGAUUGAAACGCAGGUCUGCUGAAUCUGGCUCCUCUUUUUAUGAGAUGAGCCAGUGUGGAAGUACGGAGACCUGUGUCCCAGACCAAGCUCUUCUGCUCAUUCCUUAUGGGACUGUGGGUUUGUUGAAAGUGUGAAAGAGUCAGGAAUGGAGUGGCAAAGAUUCAGAAUUGUAGUUGUAAUAUGAGGAACUGGACAUUGGGUCACACAGCUGUCAGCAUCCUGAGUGCCCCAUGUCAAAUGCCUAUACUCAUGAGGAGUAAAAAUGGAAAGACCACUCUGAAGAUAUUUGCAACUUACGUUCCAACAUCUGUUCCAGAGGACGGGGAUGGGAGGAGGGAAGGAAGUUACCUGAAGAACUUAAGAAUAUAAUCCAAAUUAUAUCAAUGCAUACUUUAACAGUUGGUGACUUUAAUGUAAUGGCAGGCAUAAGAGAAGGCAAUGAAAAAUAUGUGGAAGAAUAUGGCUCAGGAUUAAGAAAUGGAAAGCAGCCAAAGGCUUGUAGAAUACUUAGAAACCUCAAGCCAAGAAAAAAUUAGUACUUUCUUCAAGAAGAAUUUCAGAUGGCACUAGACAUGAGGAGCACCAAAUCACAUCAUGAGCAAUUACACUGACUAUCUUAACCAACAGGAAAUGAUUGGCUGUUGAUGUGAGAGUCAUUUCCAAAUCAGAUGUUUGUUGUUACACCUUCAGCUUAUUGAAGCAAAACUCAAAAUCAACACCUAUUAGAAGAAAAGCUCAAGCUGAGAAGAUAAAGCAUGUGUUGGAAAAGUUCCAACAUGACCUAUUUAGAUAUGGUAUUCACACAUUCCCUGCAAAUGGAAACUGGACAGAGGAACAAAAAUCAACAGAGACCAUUAUUUCCUAAAGAAAUUUAGCCAAUAUCAAGGUAUCACCACAACAAGGAGAAUGUAAGAGCCUAGAAACUGUUUCCAAGUUCUUGAUCUACUUGCCAAGGGAAGAGAAAUGGCUGCCAAAAUCAAUGGGAAUCUAAAAUGUAAACUCAUUUGCAAAACCUUAGAGAGAAGGAAGGUGGAAGAUCAUGAGUAGCUCUGGCUUCUAAAAUAGUGGGAAGCAGUGAAGAGAGGAAAAUGUUUUAUAGGAAAGGUUAGACAGAUCUUUCCAAGAGCAUUGGAAGAUUCAAAUAAAAGAAGGAAAACAAGCAUAGUCACACACCCAUACCCACACCCACACCCACACACACACGCACACACAAAUGGAAUAUACCUGCUAUUGGUUUCUAUACUUUCUAUAAGAAACUAUUCAAGGACAGUGGAGCAACUACAUUUGGAUUCUAAACAUAACAGUCCUGGUGUUGUUUGUGUUUGGAUUCUAUCAUAACAGUUCCUGGUGAUCUUUGUUUGGUUGAUUUGUUUUUUAUAUUUUCUCCUCCUCUUUCUUCUCUUGUUCUUGUUCUUGUUCUUCUUG